AUUGAACGCUGGCGGCAUGCCUUACACAUGCAAGUCGAACGGCAGCACGGGAGCAAUCCUGGUGGCGAGUGGCGAACGGGUGAGUAAUAUAUCGGAACGUGCCCAGUCGUGGGGGAUAACGCAGCGAAAGCUGUGCUAAUACCGCAUACGAUCAAUGGAUGAAAGCGGGGGAUCGCAAGACCUCGCGCGAUUGGACCGGCCGAUAUCAGAUUAGCUAGUUGGUGAGGUAAAGGCGCACCAAGGCGACGAUCUGUAGCUGGUCUGAGAGGACGACCAGCCACACUGGAACUGAGACACGGUCCAGACUCCUACGGGAGGCAGCAGUGGGGAAUUUUGGACAAUGGGCGCAAGCCUGAUCCAGCAAUGCCGCGUGCAGGAUGAAGGCCUUCGGGUUGUAAACUGCUUUUGUACGGAACGAAACGGUGAGCUCUAAUACAGUUUGCUAAUGACGGUACCGUAAGAAUAAGCACCGGCUAACUACGUGCCAGCAGCCGCAGUAACAC
rnacentral:rRNA from 1 species